rnacentral:rRNA from 1 species
GAUGAACGCUGGCGGCGUGCCUAAUACAUGCAAGUCGAGCGAACGGACGAGAAGCUUGCUUCUCUGAUGUUAGCGGCGGACGGGUGAGUAACACGUGGAUAACCUACCUAUAAGACUGGGAUAACUUCGGGAAACCGGAGCUAAUACCGGAUAAUAUUUUGAACCGCAUGGUUCAAAAGUGAAAGACGGUCUUGCUGUCACUUAUAGAUGGAUCCGCGCUGCAUUAGCUAGUUGGUAAGGUAACGGCUUACCAAGGCAACGAUGCAUAGCCGACCUGAGAGGGUGAUCGGCCACGAUGGAACUGAGACACGGUCCAGAGUCCUACGAGAGGCAGCAGUAGGGAAUCUUCCGCAGUGGGCGAAAGCCUGACGGAGGAACGCCGCGUGAGUGAGGAAGGUCUUCGGAUCGUAAAACUCUGUUAUUAGGGAAGAACAUAUGUGUAAGUAACUGUGCACAUCUUGACGGUACCUAAUCAGAAAGCCACGGCUAACUACGUG